UCUCAGUUCGGAUUGCAGUCUGCAACUCGACUGCAUGAAGUCGGAAUCGCUAGUAAUCGCGGAUCAGCACGCCGCGGUGAAUACGUUCCCGGGCCUUGUACACACCGCCCGUCACGCCAUGGGAGUCGGUAGUACCCGAAGUCGGUGUCCAAAUCUUCGGAUAGGAGCCGCCGAAGGUAAGACCGGUGACUGGGGCGAAGUCGUAACAAGGUAGCCGUACCGGAAGGUGCGGCUGGAUCACCUCCUUUCUAUGGAG
rnacentral:rRNA from 1 species